GCCAGACAUUCACUCCCAGCCUCCUCCUCCGUCUGUAAGCAGGUGCCUCCUAUAGCACUAUUAAAGAGAUAGAACAUAAUCUUCCGCUACAAUGGUCGUCAGUGGAAAGCCACUGUCCUGGUUGUUCCCUUGUUGGGAAAUCUGUCAAUGUCUAUUGUUGGUCUUAAUUUAUUUCUUUUGAGAUGGGAGAGGGGCACGUGGUUUGUAGCCCAGGCUAGCCCGAUCCAUUUGGCACCUCUUUCGAGCAUCAUCUUAUUUUAAUGUCUUUUCUGAAUUCCGGUGAAGUUUAUUGUUACUCUUGUGCUGGGGAUGCUACAGGGCUUUGUGCACUCUCGGAAGCAUUCCAUCACAGAGCUAUAGCCUCGGCAGACUCCUUACUUUUUAUUUGGAGAUAAAGUCUCAUUGGGCUGUCUAGACAGGCUUUCACCUCAUUCUGUUUCCCAGGCAGGCUUUGAAAACGUGCAAUUCUGCCUCUGCGUAGCUGGGAUAACAAGCCUGGAGACUUCUGAAGUAGAAAGUCCUGUUCUGAACCAGUAAACAAAUGGCUUUCCACCCCCUCCCUACAGCCUCUUCAGCUAGGAAGGAUUCUAGGACAUCCCCCAACUCCUGUGAUCAACCCGAGUCCCUAGAACAGUUUUAUGUAACACCCACUCGGCCAGCCCCAGCGUCUCAGAGCCUUGAUUCCAGCAUCUUCCAUAAAUCUGGCAACAUAUCAAAACCUCUGUUUCAUAACACACUCAAAAUAGGAUUUUCUACUAACAUGACAAGCCCAGGGCUUCUUGUAGGGGGGGCGGGAGUUUUAUGAAUCAUUAAUAGUUAAACAGAGAUGUGCCCCACCUGCCUGUCUCUGGAGGAUCAGGAUAAAGAGGAAGAUAGGAAGACUGUGGUCUACAGUCUGCUGGUUAGUGAACAAGGG
rnacentral:lncRNA from 1 species